UACGGAGGGUGCAAGCGUUGCUCGGAAUUAUUGGGCGUAAAGGGUAGGUAGGUGGUCUUAUUUGUCUGGGGUGAAAGCCUUGGGCUUAACUCAAGAAGUGCCCCAGAAACGGUAAGACUAGAGUCCUGGAGAGGCGAGUGGAAUUCCCGGUGUAGCGGUGAAAUGCGUAGAGAUCGGGAGGAACACCAGAGGCGAAGGCGGCUCGCUGGACAGGCACUGACACUCAACUACGAAAGCGUGGGGAGCAAACAGG
rnacentral:rRNA from 1 species